CUCUGGAUCUUUAGCCAUGAUGUAGUUGCUACUCUACUACUGUCUUUCUUUGCAUUCCCUAGUUGCCCCCUUAGUCUGUUGAAAAAUUACAUCUGAAAUCUCUCUUACUGAGGUUUGUAGAAUUUUCAUUUCAGCAAUUUUGUACCAAACAAGUGUAUUCAGAUAUGAAAUGAUGGAUGUUUUUUCUCCUGGAAAAUGUAUAUCUCUG
rnacentral:lncRNA from 1 species